rnacentral:antisense_RNA from 1 species
UUGUUUAUUAAUAUUUAUACGAAUUUAAACUUUUAAGAAGUUUUUGGGG